rnacentral:piRNA from 1 species
UGGACAUUUCCUCUUCCAAUGUGCUGCUGCA